rnacentral:tRNA from 1 species
GGGAUUGUGGCUCAGUGGUAGAGGGGGCUCACCUAGCAUGUGAGAGGCCCUGGGUUCAAUCCUCAGCACCA